rnacentral:rRNA from 1 species
AACGACGCUGGCGGCAUGCCUAACACAUGCAAGUCGAACGCUCGCAAGAGAGUGGCGGACGGGUGCGUAACACGUGGGAACCUGCCUUUGGGUACGGAACAACACCGGGAAACUGGUGCUAAUACCGUAUAAUGUCUACGGACCAAAGAUUUAUCGCCUGAAGAGGGGCCCGCGUUGGAUUAGCUUGUUGGUGAGGUAAAGGCUCACCAAGGCGAUGAUCCAUAGCUGGUCUGAGAGGAUGAUCAGCCACACUGGGACUGAGACACGGCCCAGACUCCUACGGGAGGCAGCAGUGGGGAAUCUUGCGCAAUGGGCGAAAGCCUGACGCAGCCAUGCCGCGUGAAUGAUGAAGGUCUUAGGAUUGUAAAAUUCUUUCACCAGGGACGAUAAUGACGGUACCCGGAGAAGAAGCCCCGGCUAACUUCGUG